UUGGGAGACAGGGAGGGCUCCGACUGCAUAUACAAACUCAGCCAUGACUGAUUCGCUAAAAUUUCUCUAUUAAAUUUAUCUCUGCACGUUCCUUGAGAGAGAAACCCCAGAGCACUUUAGGAGGACAAGAGGUGAUAGAGCAGAGAGAAAAAUCAGCUUCUUCCCCUUUUUGUAAGCAGGAAACCCAAGUCCCCAACUCCACGCCUAACAUAUAUGUGGCUCCAGUCAACGAUGAAUUUCUACAUUUUGGCAACGGUCAGAGUGAAAGUAGUCGCACUAUCUAUAGAAACUUUGAGAUGGAGAACACUUGAGUAUGCUACUGAAAAUGCAAGAAACACAUUUUGAAAGGAUGAAAUAAUAUCACUGAGUGACAGUAAAUUAACAUGCUGACAUUUGCAGACUUUCAGAGCAUUGCCAUAAAAAGAAGUAAUACAACAUGACUAAUUUGGACUUCUUCUUUCUUCCUUCCUAGGGAGAGACAGCCCUGCCCCUCCAAGGCCACCCUGCAGGCUUUGUCUACCAGGCACUUCCUCCUCUCUCCCAGGAAGCACGUGUGACUCUAACACUCCCUUGCGCUCCCACGUUGCCUCUUGGAGAUUCUAGGGGAGAAGGCGGUUUUGACUUCUGUGAUUCGAAGAUGCUCUCCCAAACAGCAGAAGGAUGUUGCUUGGCUGGCAGUGGGCACACAUGCUGGCCACUGCCCAGAUCCCCUGGCUGGUAGGGUGCCAGGGUUGGGAGAGUCCUCCCACACCCCUGAGCACCACGGCACUCAUGGGGAGACUGAGGCACAGACAGGCUGUGCAUUCCCAGCUCGCUCUGCUUGCUCCUGGACCAAGUAUCCAACCUGGAAAGUCCUCCCAGUGGAAAUAGGCAUUCUCUCAGCCUCCCAGCGCAGGGAGGAAUAGGAAAGGGCCCUUCUUAGAGCCAGCACAGUGCUUGGCACAUGGAAAGCACCUGGUUAACUUUGCUAAAGAAAAAUGAUUCUCCAAAGCCCCUUAGCGAGGGCCCUCCCACUCAACCUCUCCUUUCCUCAGAAGCCUGGCCUCCACUAGAGGCCAUUCUCUCUGGAGCAGGAUGCUGCUUUGUCCUCAGAGCUGUGCUUCCCAGGAACUGUGAGCAUGUGUUUGUGCUGGUGUGUGCAGCAUGGGAGAACUUGGAUCAGUAACAACGCAGACAAGAGCAGCUCCCGUCUUUUCUGAGACCAAGGGAACCAGGCUUCACAGAGGCUGCUUUCUGGGUGCCCUUCCCAGGGAAGCAAAUGAUGAUGAUAAUUAUGGUCAUCACCACUGGUUAUUGACCAUGGAGCGAUUAUAGGAUGCUGCAUGUUACCGGCUACCUCCCUCAUGACACAAGGAGAUACACAGUACUAUCCUCAU
rnacentral:lncRNA from 1 species